UACGUAGGGUCCGAGUGUUGUCCGGAAUUAUUGGGCGUAAAGAGCUCGUAGGCGGUUUGUCGCGUCUGCUGUGAAAUCCCGAGGCUCAACCUCGGGCCUGCAGUGGGUACGGGCAGACUUGAGUGGUGUAGGGGAGACUGGAAUUCCUGGUGUAGCGGUGGAAUGCGCAGAUAUCAGGAGGAACACCGAUGGCGAAGGCAGGUCUCUGGGCACUUACUGACGCUGAGGAGCGAAAGCGUGGGGAGCGAACAGG
rnacentral:rRNA from 1 species